ensembl:lncRNA
UAUACAUGGACGGAUUUAAUCGAAAAAAACACCCAAUUGUGAUGUUUAUGGGACAUAUAGGAGUGCCAACAAAGAAGCUCGUCAAAAAUUUUGUCAGACAGGGACUUCGCACCUAUGGAUGAUUUUGCCUUUAUUGGAGCACACUUCAUAACACCUGCCUUCAUCCACGGUCGGAAGCAGUUGCCAGGGAAAGAGAGAGGGUGAUAGCCACAUAACCUGCCCCUGGUUAAGAACCUGAAGGAUGAGAGUGAAGACAAAGAAGAGGCAACACUCGUCAAAAUCAACAAGACUGGCAGUGUGGUUAAACUGCAAUACCACUGCCUGCCCUACUGCAGCUGACGCCUGCCCUCCUGCUGCUGCCUGCACUGCUGAUGCCUGCCACACUGCUGCUGAUUCCUGUGCUACUGUUGCCUGUACUGCUGAUGCCUACCCUGCUGAUGCCUACCCUGGUGCUGCCUGCCAUCCUGCCUGCAUUGCCAUUACCACUGGGGACCAUGCCUCAGGAAUACCUGGCCUGAUGACUCCUUGCUGUCCC